UACGUAGGGGGCAAGCGUUGUCCGGAAUCAUUGGGCGUAAAGAGCGUGUCGGCGGUCCGGUAAGUCCGCUGUAAAAGUCAAGGGCUUAACCUUUGAAUGUCAGUGGAUACUGCCGGGCUAGAGUCCGGAAGAGGCGAGUGGAACUCCUGGUGUAGCGGUGGAAUGCGCAGAUAUCAGGAAGAACACCAACGGCGAAGGCAGCUCGCUAGGACGGUACUGACGCUGAGACGCGAAAGCGUGGGGAGCGAACAGG
rnacentral:rRNA from 1 species